CCUUGCGGCCUUAGCGCGGUGGUCCCACCUGACCCCAUGCCGAACUCAGAAGUGAAACGCCGUAGCGCCGAUGGUAGUGUGGGGUCUCCCCAUGCGAGAGUAGGGAACUGCCAGAC
rnacentral:rRNA from 1 species